rnacentral:rRNA from 1 species
UACGGAGGGAGCUAGCGUUGUUCGGAAUUACUGGGCGUAAAGGGCUCGUAGGCGGCCAACUAAGUCAGACGUGAAAUCCCUCGGCUUAACCGGGGAACUGCGUCUGAUACUGGAUGGCUUGAAUCCGGGAGAGGGAUGCGGAAUUCCAGGUGUAGCGGUGAAAUGCGUAGAUAUCUGGAGGAACACCGGUGGCGAAGGCGGCACCCUGGACCGGCAUUGACGCUGAGGAGCGAAAGCCAGGGGAGCAAACGGG